CGGUGGACGGUGUAUAAAACAAUUUCAAAAGUAUCAUAAGCAUUUCAACCAGCAAUAAGCCAACAAGUCCAGUUCAUCACCCAAUCCUCGUUUAAACUUCAAACCGAAAAAUCAUGCAAGCCAUGAAGAUUAUCAUUUUGCUCGGAGCCGUUGUCGCCAUGGCACACGCAGCACCUGAAUCUCUCCACGGGGGUAAUUUUCAAUAUGGGAAGGCCGUGAGCAACUCGAUCUCAUCCGCCGACCAACCCCCCACAUCCUCCGCCCAGAAUGCCUUCCUGAACAUUGUCAGUGGGGACAGUCUUGCGUGGUGCGGCGGCUACACGGCGCCCGAAUGCAGCAACGCCUGCUACUGGCUGGGCUACCGAUGCUAUCGCUGCACUUCCAGCUUUUGUGAAUGCUCACAAUCUGGGUGCUAAAUAAAUAAUUAAUUAUAUUGGUUUGUUUACAUAGCCGUUACACCGUCUAUUGUUUUAUUAAACAAAUUACUUUCUUAAUCUGGUCUGUUACAAUAAUUCUAAUUCAUGUCGAAUAAUAAAAUUUUGAUACAUAAUAAAUUUGAUUGUUUCAUUUA